AUUGAACGCGGGCGGCAGGCCGAACACAUGCAAGUCGAACGAGUGGCGGACGGGUGAGUAAUGUCUGGGAAACUGCCUGAUGGAUGGGGAUAACUACUGGAAAUGGUAGCUAAUACCACAUACCAUCAGAUGUGCCCAGAUGGGAUUAGCUAGUUGGUGGGGUAACGGCUCACCAAGGCGACGAUCCCUAGCUGGUCUGAGAGGAUGACCUGCCACGCGGGAAAUGAGAAUCGGACCAGACUCCUACGGGCGGCAGCAGGGGAGAAUAUUGCACAACGGCCGAAAGCCUGAUGCAGCCAUGGCGCGUGUGGUAAGAAGGAAAUCGGGUUGCAAAGUACUUUCGGCGGGGAGGCGUUAGCCUUAGAAGCAGCACCGGCUAACGCCGUGCUAGCAGCCGCGGUAAUAC
rnacentral:rRNA from 1 species